GCCAUAGCUCAGUAGAACAUCUGCUUUGCAUGCAGAAGGUCCCAGGUUCAAUCCUUGGCAUAGCCA